UGAUUUCCACAUUCAC
rnacentral:rRNA from 1 species